rnacentral:rRNA from 1 species
GCAGCCGCGGUAAUACGUAGGGGGCGAGCGUUGUCCGGAAUUACUGGGCGUAAAGGGCGCGUAGGCGGUGUGCUAAGUUUGUUGUGAAAUCCCACGGCUCAACUGUGGAAGUGCAAUGAAAACUGGCAUACUGGAGUACGGCAGAGGCAAGCGGAAUUCCCAGUGUAGCGGUGAAAUGCACAGAGAUUGGGAGGAACACCAGUGGCGAAGGCGGCUUGCUGGGCCGAAACUGACGCUGAGGCGCGAAAGCGUGGGGAGCAAACAGGAUUAGAUACCCC